CAGAGAGCCAAGUAUCCUUGUCAUCCCCGCUGAGCUCAAGACCUACUUCCUCUUUAUCUUCAGUCUAUAGUGAGCAGUCACGAAGGACAUCUCAUGGGCCUCAUCGGGUUUUUGUUCCUCACUCACCUAUGGACUUGCAACUGGGUCACCGGGUCAGGAUCAUGCUGCCAUCUGGCAGGAUCAGCACAGGAACAAUUCGUUUCCUGGGACACCUGCAGGGGGAAGCAGAUUUCCACCUUGGAGUGGAGCUGCAGACUCCUGAUGCAGCUCUGGGUGAUGGCAGUCACAGUGGACAGAGCUACUUUGACUGCAAACCUGGAUAUGGUGUCUUUGUGCCAUUUCACAAACUACUGAUGGCCUG